rnacentral:misc_RNA from 1 species
AAAGUCGUAACAAGGUUUCCGUAGGUGAACCUGCGGAAGGAUCAUUACAAAUCCAACCACGUCUUCUUACCCAAGACACCGUUGAACUGUUUGGCGCAUACAUAUGAUGCGAGUAGUGCUGUGCACGAUGCGCGGGCGGAGUGACCCCCUUCCAUGGGACACGCCGCACCGUAUCGCGUGCGCUCUACUCUAUCAUUGUGCCACCCCCUUUACACAACCUAGCGUGACCUUUGUUGCAUUUGUAUUUGUGUUAUCACACACAUGAGAACAACACACAAACAACUUAUAACAAUGGAUCUCUAGGCUCUU